rnacentral:rRNA from 1 species
AAAAAGCAGAGGGGGCUUAGUGGUGGGGUGACUGCGUACCUUUUGUAUAAUGGGUCAGCGACUUGUAUUCUGUAGCAAGGUUAACCGUUUAGGGGAGCCGCAGGGAAACCGAGUCUUAACCGGGCGUUAAGUUGCAGAGUACAGACCCGAAACCCGGUGAUCUAUCCAUGGGCAGGUUGAAGGUUGGGUAACACUAACUGGAGGACCGAACCGACUACCGUUGAAAAGUUAGCGGAUGACCUGUGGAUCGGAGUGAAAGGCUAAUCAAGCUCGGAGAUAGCUGGUUCUCCUCGAAAGCUAUUUAGGUAGCGCCUCGUGAAUCACUGUGGGGGUAGAGCACUGUUUCGGUCAGGGGGCCAUCCCGGCUUACCAACCCGAUGCAAACUGCGAAUACCACAGAAUGUUAUCACGGGAGACACACGGCGGGUGCUAACGUCCGUCGUGAAGAGGGAAACAACCCAGACCGCCAGCUAAGGUCCCGAAGUCAUGGUUAAGUGGGAAACGAUGUGGGAAGGCCCAGACAGCCAGGAUGUUGGCUUAGAAGCAGCCAUCAUUUAAAGAAAGCGUAAUAGCUCACUGGUCGAGUCGGCCUGCGCGGAAGAUGUAACGGGGCUAAACC